AGAUUACGAUAUAUAUCUGAUAUGUAAUUAGGAAACUAUGUAAUUAAGAUUAGACUAUCAAAUUUAAUCUUAAUUAUAUAGUUUCCUGAUUACAUAUCAGAUGUAUUUCUUAAUCU
rnacentral:pre_miRNA from 1 species